AUUGAACGCUGGCGGCAGGCUUAACACAUGCAAGUCGAACGAGUGGCGGACGGGUGAGUAAUGACUGGGAAUCUGACUGAUGGAGGGGGAUAACUACCGGAAACGGUAGCUAAUACCGCAUACCAUCGGAUGAGCCCACGUGGGAUUAGGUAGUUGGUGGGGUAACGGCUCACCAAGGCGACGAUCUCUAGCUGGUCUGAGAGGAUGACCAGCCACACUGGGCCUGAGACCCGGCCCAGACUCCUACGGGAGGCAGCAGUGGGGAAUAUUGCGCAAUGGGGGCAUGCCUGAUGCAGACAUGCCGCGUGUUUGAAGAAGGCCUUCGGGUUGUAAAGCACUUUCAGCGGGGAGGCGUUACCCGCAGAAGAAGCACCGGCUAACUCCGUGCCAGCAGCCGCGGUAAUUC
rnacentral:rRNA from 1 species